UGAAUCAUGGCCGUCUAUACUUCCCCCUCACGUGGAUCGCACCUGCUAAUACUUGUCCCUUGGUCCGUAGCCCUUGCCGACAUAACCGUUUCUUUCCCACCUCGUUAUAUCCUCAGACCGUUCGGAAUCCGGCGAUCGUCGCAGCGACGAUCAUCGCGUCGGCUUUCUUCUCUGCGUCCCUGGAUCGGUGCUCCUGCAUCCAUGUUGACACCACCGAGGACGAGAACGACGAGGAGGAGAUGAAAACGCGGUCCUCCUCGGAGGCAAGAUGCGCAAUCCAUCUCCGCCUUUUUCUCUUUUUUUUGGGCUUUUCUUUGAAAUAUAGAUAUGGUUCUUGAUUUCGGUUUUAUAUGGUGUUUUCCUUUAACUCCUAUUUUUCGUGCUUAUUUCUUGAAUUCUCGGUUCUUGAUUUCUAGUCCAGGUUUUGGUGGAAUCUGGAUAUGGUUAUUGAGUUCUAGAGUUUUGAUGUUAUAUUAAUUUCUGCCCUAACUGUGAUAUUUUAUGUUUUAAUAUUGUUCUACGUGUUUUUUUUUUUUCAAUUUUAGAUUUCAAUCAUCUUUUGUGCCCUGUUGAAUGGUAAUGGAUUUUUUUUAAAAAAAAUGGAUCCAAUUGGCUUUUGAGUUGGGAGUUGGAUUUGGAAUUUAAAUAUACGGCUAUCCCAUUUAUACUCAAAUCUUGAUUUUUUUUUUGUUAUCGUUUGCCUUGCUUUUCCCGGAUGUUACUUCUUUGCAAUCUUUCUGAAGAGUUCGAGAUGAUAUUCUGGUUAGUUAUUAUAGUCCAUAUUUGUGUUUAUCUUUGUCUAUGUCUGCCACAUAAUGCACCUGCUUAAAUGUGAAUGCAGUUAUUUAAUACAACUUCUGUUGUCUGCCUUUUUCUUCUUGGGAUGAUAUAUCUGUGCGGCCUUUUAGGAUAAUUCAAUUUUGGACGAUAUAUUACUGGGGUCUACCCUUGCGGUUAACUCUGUUUACUGCAGAUGUUUUUUUUUUUGAAUGAUGUUUGCUGCAGAUGUUGAAUCUGUUUUUAUCUUGUAGAAUCACAAGAGUUGUGGAUGAGUGGCAGUCUCUUAUUAGGCUCAAUGUUCUGUUAUUUCUUGACUAUGUCCUCCAAGGAUACGACCUGCAGUUUCUUUCAAGGAUAAUUUAACUUUAGAUGAAAGGAUGUAAUGUGAUAUUAUUUUGCUCUUUAUUUGUUUAAACCAUGUAGUUAAUGGAUCUUCCAAGAUCUUAUAGUUUGCUUUAAUAAAUUAAUUUAUGUUAAUUGAUUUUAGUUUUUUAGUACGCUUAAACUGGUGAUGCAAUUGUGUUGUGAUUUUGGUACCCAUGGUAUUUUUCUGCUUUAGAUUAUUGGAAGUGCUGUCCAUUUAGUACUUUAUAGAGAAGUGAAUGCACUGACUUUGUAUUUUGUAAUAUAGAAAAGAAUAAAGAUAUG
rnacentral:lncRNA from 1 species